rnacentral:rRNA from 1 species
AACGUAGGUUCCGAGCGUUAUCCGGAUUUACUGGGCGUAAAGCGCGUUCAGGCGGUUUGGCAAGUCGGGCAUGAAAUCUCUCGGCUCAACCGGGAGAGGUUGUCCGAUACUGCUGGACUUGAGGGCAGUAGAGGGUGGUGGAAUUCCGGGUGUAGUGGUGAAAUGCGUAGAUAUCCGGAGGAACACCAGUGGCGAAAGCGGCCACCUGGACUGUACCUGACGCUGACACGCGAAAGCUAGGGGAGCAAACAGG